rnacentral:tRNA from 1 species
GUGGUGGCUCAGUGGUAGAGUGCUUGCCUAGCAUGCGUGGGGCACUGGCUUCUAUUCUCAGCACCACA